rnacentral:rRNA from 1 species
UACGUAGGGUGCGAGCGUUGUCCGGAAUUAUUGGGCGUAAAGGGCUCGUAGGCGGUUUGUCACGUCGAAAGUGAAAACUCAGGGCUUAACCCUGAGCCUGCUUCCGAUACGGGCAGACUAGAGGUAUGCAGGGGAGAAUGGAAUUCCUGGUGUAGCGGUGAAAUGCGCAGAUAUCAGGAGGAACACCGGUGGCGAAGGCGGCUCUCUGGGCAUUACCUGACGCUGAGGAGCGAAAGUGUGGGGAGCAAACAGG